ACAAUUUAGUCUUUAAGUAAUAGAAUGUUCUGGUGAGGCUUUAAAUUUGAGAGUAACUAAAAUAGUUCAAAGUUGGAUAACGUGACUGUCUCCCAGAGGUAGAUACAGUGACUGAUGGGGCUUUGGGAGACUGUUGGGAAGUUGAGAUACAAUGAGGUUGAGAUCUUCAUUUGUGUUAAAAAAAAAAAAAGUUGUAUUUUCGGAGGCAAAAGCCUGCCGUUGUUUUCCGUGUCUGAAAGUCCACAGGGGAGCUCUUGUGUGGAAGAAAGAAGCCUGCGGAUGCUGAGUAGGCAACAGAGUGACCAGUUAUUAAGUUAUUGUUUCCUACCAUCAAACUCACCCUUUCCUGCCUAGCUGUGUCAUUCCAGAGCUGAGACUCCACAAACCUAAGUUCUCCUUUAUAAGCGGGAUGCCUGUUAGGGCUUGCCAAUAGGGGGCGCUAGAGGGAGCCCGCCAAGCUGGAGGAGGAAGGGGCAACUCCUCCCCGUGCACUUCCUGUUCCUUUAUGUCUCACGUUCCUGUCAGCACCAUCCUAGCAUGUUCACCCAGGCGGCGUCAGCAGGUGGUUCCAGUGGUGCAGGUGAUUCUGGUUCACGUCUUUAACGACACUCACGGAACCAGCGCCAUUUCAGCCGCUAGAGACUCCAGCACCAGCCAGUCUUCACGCCCUCCACAGAGGUCUGGGUCUCACCCAGGGAUGCCGCCUUCAAGCACCUGAGGCAGUAGUGCAGGAAAGAAAGCCAUGUGGAUAGUUGAGAUCUUCUAUGAAGAAAGGAAGGAAAAGAGAAGAGGCCCCAGAUCCAAAGCCUAAAGAAUAUCAACGUUUAGAAUUCUGGUUCUGAAGGAAGGACCAGCAAAAUGCAAGAAGCAGAUGGUGUGCUCCAGUAGGACAGAGCCCGGGGCUGUUCUGCUCACCACACCGUAUGUGCCCCCGCCCCCGCCUCAGCCCCAACGGGUUCUGCUUCUUUGGAAACCCAACCUACAAACCACUGAAAAGAAUGGAAUAUAAACCGAAAAGAAGAGGAUAAACCCUGGCACAGAACAAUUAACAAAAUCCCAGAAGAGAAGGUAGAACCCAGGUAAGGUCAAAGAUAGCAUAACAAUCAUUAUCUAUAAAUAGUAUGAUUACAUUUUUAUGAAAAUACUCUUUUCUUGCUCUCCAUCCAUCCA